GUGCCAGCAGCCGCGGUAAUACAGAGGGUGCUAGCGUUGUCCGGAAUCACUGGGCGUAAAGGGCGCGUAGGCGGCCCGAUAAGUAGGGGGUGAAAUCUUGCGGCUCAACCGCAAGGCUGCCUUCUAAACUGUCGGGCUGGAGCACGGUAGAGGCAGAUGGAAUUCCCGGUGUAGCGGUGGAAUGCGUAGAGAUCGGGAAGAACACCAGUGGCGAAGGCGGUCUGCUGGGCCGUUGCUGACGCUGAGGCGCGACAGCGUGGGGAGCAAACAGGAUUAGAUACCCCGGUAGUCC
rnacentral:rRNA from 1 species